AUAUUUGACAAUGGGCGAAAGCCUGAUCCAGCCAUGCCGCGUGUGUGAAGAAGGUCUNNNGAUUGNACAGCACUUUAAGAUGGNAGGNAGGGUUGUAGGUUAAUACCCUGCAAUUUCGAUGUUACCAACAGAUUAAGAACCGCCUAACUUCGUGUCAGCAGCCGCGGUAAUACGAAGGGUGCAAGCGUUAAUCGGAAUUACUGGGCGUAAAGCGCGCGUAGGUGGUUCGUUAAGUUGGAAGUGAAAGCCCCGGGCUUAACCUGGGAAUUGCUUUCAAAACUGACGAGCUAGAGUACGGUAGAGGGUAGUGGAAUUUCCUGUGUAGCGGUGAAAUGCGUAGAUAUAGGAAGGAACAUCAGUGGCGAAGGCGACUACCUGGACUGAUACUGACACUGAGGUGCGAAAGCGUGGGGAGCAAACAGG
rnacentral:rRNA from 1 species